GUUAUGCCUGUCUUAUAGCUGGUUUAGGCUGUGGAGGGACACAGGUGUAGAGAAAUGACAGGGAAUAAACAGAAUUGGUGUUAAAAGGAAAUGGGGAGGGGUGGUAAUCCUUCCUCUUCAUCUCUGAAGAAUUAUAGCCGGUGGUCUGAAUCUUCCCUGAGACGAAGAAGCAUUCACCUAGCUGUACCUGACCUGCCGCUCAGAGGGAAUCUGACUAUUAAAGGGGAAAAAACUCUGUUGCUUUGAAGUUCAAUGAACCAGAUGGCGGAUAUUCUGAAAUUUUUUCCGAUCUAAAAACAAGAAAUUUGAAGCCCAAAUGAAUUUGAGUCCUAGAGAGCUUCAGAGGCGUUGAAUUCAACUCCUGCAGUUGAAAACCAGUCAGCAAAACCCCCAAGCAUGGCAGAACCAGAUUAAAAAGUAAUUGGGAA
rnacentral:lncRNA from 1 species